CGGACGGGUGAGUAACACGUGAGAAUUUGCCUUUAGGAGGGGGAUAACAAUUGGAAACGAAUGCUAAUACCCCAUAUGCUUUUGAGUGAAAUGGAUUUUAUCCGCCUAGAGAGAAGCUCGCGGCUGAUUAGCUUGUUGGUAAGGUAAGAGCUUACCAAGGCGACGAUCAGUAUCUGGUUUGAGAGGACGAUCAGACACACUGGAACUGAGACACGGUCCAAACUCCUACGGGAGGCAGCAGUGAGGAAUAUUGGUCAAUGGGCGAGAGCCUGAACCAGCCAAGUAGCGUGCAGGAAGACGGCCCUAUGGGUUGUAAACUGCUUUUAUAAGGGAAUAAAGUGAGUCUCGUGAGACUUUUUGCAUGUACCUUAUGAAUAAGGACCGGCUAAUUCCGUG
rnacentral:rRNA from 1 species